UCGUUCUCAACGGGGUGCCUUAUGGGCUGAGAGUGUUAGGUUUACUAAUGCAACUCGUCGAACCUGAACUGGGUCAUGCCAGCGGAGGGAUUUGAGUUAUCGUGUCUG
rfam:Gilliamella apicola strain wkB1, complete genome.